UACGUAGGGUGCAAGCGUUAAUCGGAAUUACUGGGCGUAAAGCGUGCGCAGGCGGUUAUGCAAGUCAGAUGUGAAAUCCCCGGGCUCAACCUGGGAACUGCAUUUGUGACUGCAUGGCUAGAGUACGGUAGAGGGGGAUGGAAUUCCGCGUGUAGCAGUGAAAUGCGUAGAUAUGCGGAGGAACACCGAUGGCGAAGGCAAUCCCCUGGACCUGUACUGACGCUCAUGCACGAAAGCGUGGGGAGCAAACAGG
rnacentral:rRNA from 1 species